AGAGUAAACACGGCGGCGGCGGCGCCCGGAGCCCAGCCGCGUCCCCGGGCUCUGCCUCGGAGGGAGGCAAAGCUUCCUGUUUCAACUGUACAAGAAAGGAAGAAGUAAGAAGGGAAAUGGCUUGUAGAAGAAUCUGCUUUUAGAGGAAAUGUUAACUCUCUUGCACGGACAUGUGAUGAAAUUUUACAUACUAAAGACUUCCACUCCCUCCAAUAUAAAUCUUGUGAACCUUGCAAGGGGAGUUGGUGACAACAUCUUCCAAUGGGGGAGAGGUUAUAUAAUGGUGUUGCCAGGUUAUUUGAGUGGCAGCAAUAAACCAGAAAGAUCUUGACCUCUCUGUUUCCAGCCUUGUGAAAUGGACUCACACACAAGCAUUCUCAAGCUCAAUGACUCCUUAAGCUCUGGAUCUACUUGUAGGCACUACACCACUCAGUCAUGUCUCUCUGCUUGCUUGACUGGACCUGAAACUCUCAAAUGACUUGUCGAUUUUGGAUGGCCAAUCUCCUAGGUAAAGACAAGAUAAUUCAGAAGAAACCAAGUUCCUCUUUUAAAAUUUGGGUUUCCUGUCGGAUUUGUAUGUCCACUAAUGAUCUCAAAAAUAAAAUUUCAGGCCACAUUCAAACUUGAAAUUCAAUAAAGUCAGUUAAGCCCAAAUGAAACUUUACAAUGGAAAGUGUACUGAAGUGAACAGGAAAAAUUGAUGGCAUAAUCCAUUUCAAGCUUCUAACUCCUGGGACUAGGGAUAUUUAACAUCUGCUACCCACAAAGGCUACAAUAAAUUUUUAGAAAAUGAAUGUAAAGAUAUUAAUGAACAAUCUGCCAUCAUGCCAAAAGAAAAGGAAUUUGGUCUUACUAAAACAGAACAAGAAUACUUGAUU